GGGGUGACGCGCGGGAUGGGGAGGGGCCUGGGAGAGGGGUGGAGCUUGGGUGCCCGUGAGGGGCCGAGGCCGGGGGCGGGGCUUCGGGGCGGGUGGGGGCGCAGGUCGUGACCCUGAGUGCCACAUUGUAGCCAUUGGAGGCCUGGCAGGCUCCCGGGGCCUCGGGGGUGGGGUGGAGCCGCAGAGCACCGGAGGCAGAGAUCCUCCGGGCUCCGGAAGCAAGCUUCCAGUGCACAUGAAAGACAUCGGGGGUCCAAGCCAGUCCCCGCGCCACCCUGCCUCCGCCGGCGGCCUCCUUCCUCUCGGAGCUCUAGGCCAGCCCCCCGCCUGGGCGUGAGGGCAGAGACGUCUACCCCGGAUCCUUCUCCCUCCCCUGAAGAGGAUCAGGAGCUGGGCCAGGCAGGGAGGCCGAGGGAAUGGCCCCCGGACCCCCGAGGCCCCCAUGGCAGGUGAGUGUGGGGCAGCCCUGGGCUCGACUCCGUCACCAAGGGUGGUGGUUAAAAAACGGAUAGGAUACAGCAGUAACAGCACUGCCCUGCCCUCCCCCGGGUUUGAACUGCUUCAUGAGCUCUUUCACCUCCAACAGUAACUUCCCAACUUGCUGCCCUCCUGGCUCUCCCUCCUCACACCUGACUUCAUGCAAUAGUCUCCACUACACAGAGAUCCUUUCUGUGCUGUCGUUUCCAACUGAAGGUCAAGGAAAAGCCCCCCCCCCAACCUGGUCUGGACUGAGCAGAGCCCCGACAUCUUCCCCAGCUGUUUUCCUUUGCAGUCUUGCAGUCACAGCAAACAUGAUCCAUUUACUCUGCCUCAGUUCACACAAGUCUUCCCAGGUCUCUCAAUCCCUCCCAUUUACCAUUUCUUAGUUCAAGUCAAAAAGCAUUUAGAAAGUGGCUCCUCUGUGCCAGGCCCUGUUCAAACCUCCUGUGGAUACAAAGGAAGGAGAAAUCAGCCCCAUCCUUCAAGGAGCUCACAGUCUGAUGUGGGAGACAACAUUUAGGCAUCUGUGUCCAUAAAAGCUAGAGACACUGUAGUGGGGAGGGGAAGGAUCCAGCAGUUUCAGGGACCAGGAAAGGGUUUUUUUUAGAAAGUGAGGUUUGAGCUGAGAUUUGAAGGAAGCCAGCAGGUGGAGGUGAGGAGAGAGAACAUUCCAAGCGUGAGAGAUGACCAUUGGAAAGGCCCAGAGUCAGGACACAGAGGGUCUUAAGCAAAUAUCAGCCAGGAGGUCUGUGUCAGGGUGAGAGGAGGUGGAGGAGGGAGCGAGGGGUUAGCAGAGAGGAAGGUGGGUGGGCCUAGUCAGAUGGCGCCUUGUGUGUUCCAUAAAUAUUAUCUUCUUUGAUCCUCUUGCAAGCAUUUUCAGGGUCCUUGCUGGCCACAGUCAGCUAAGGCAGUGCAGGAUGUAGCCAGCCAGGUACACUGCACUUUUGUAGCCACUUAGGAAGGUGACUCACACUAUGAGGAGGUAAUAGACUGGUGGGUUCUUCUUGUUCACUGAUUACAUGCGCCUACAAGUACAAACUUAGUUUUUUCCUGGGCUACUUGACCCAGAGAUUGUAUAAAGCAGUUUUGGGUAAGAUGUAGUAGGACACUGAGGGAGAGAAAGGUAGAGAAAUGGGACCUUAUUUUAAAAAGGAGGAUUCUUAAUCUUUCCCAGAGCAGUUUGACUCUGACCCAAAAAACUAUUGCUUUAUCAGUCAGUAAUCAGCAUUUGUUAAGCUACUGCUGCCUCCUUUGACUGGAUUUAGAAAAAAGGGUGAAUUCCUGGAAUUUUUCCAAGCCCUAGGAGUUCUAUAGUAAUAGAGGGAAGGGAGGUAUCUAUCAAAGCUAUCUAUCAAACAGGCAAGCUUUAAGGAUUUUAAUAACAGA
ensembl:lncRNA